GGGCGCAAGCCUGAUGCAGCGACGCCGCGUGCGGGAUGACGGCCUUCGGGUUGUAAACCGCUUUUGAUCGGGAGCAAGCCUUCGGGUGAGUGUACCUUUCGAAUAAGCACCGGCUAACUACGUGCCAGCAGCCGCGGUAAUACGUAGGGUGCAAGCGUUAUCCGGAAUUAUUGGGCGUAAAGGGCUCGUAGGCGGUUCGUCGCGUCCGGUGUGAAAGUCCAUCGCUUAACGGUGGAUCUGCGCCGGGUACGGGCGGGCUGGAGUGCGGUAGGGGAGACUGGAAUUCCCGGUGUAACGGUGGAAUGUGUAGAUAUCGGGAAGAACACC
rnacentral:rRNA from 1 species